CCCUGGUUAGCCCAGUUGGUAGAGCGCUCCACUUGUAAUGGAGAGGUCCCGGGUUUGAUACCCGGACCAGGCG
rnacentral:tRNA from 1 species